rnacentral:antisense_RNA from 1 species
CUCCUUUUGUGAGGAAUGGGAUAUUCCGACUCCUUAAGGGCCAGGCGCACAUAAGGGCCACAUCUGCCAGAGCCUGGAGUCUGCGAAGGCCGGGACCCGGUUCCCCGGCCCACCGUGGGGGGGGGUGUGCAAACCCGAGAGAACUGGUCGCUGAAACCUCUACAACUUAGUUGACCGUAACUGCCAGAGCCCUGCCCUGAAUUCCUGUCCUUACUCCCUCUUUAAGAUUGCGUACCCACUGCAGAGUGCUGAAGACGGGGUAGCCACGAGGUUGCAAAUUCGUGAAGAAUCAGCAUCAUGUUUGGCAGCUGAGUAUUGGAGCCAGGAGCCUGCCAUGAGGUUUUGAGAACAGAGUGCUGUUUUAGAGCUGGCAGCAGCAUCUCAGCCCAAGAGAAGGUUAUAUUCCCAGAGGAUGUCAGUCCCAAGGACCAGUAGCUGCCAUCAGUUUGGAUUCUGAAAACUAACCGGCAUCAACACUGGGUGUAGAAACAUGCUUGCCUUAUGUAUCAGAGGACAUGCUCAGCAGAUCCAAGAGAUAUAUUUGGCAACUUUUUCUAGAAAAGGCACAUUGGGUAUCAUUCAUUACAUUCUUGAGUUUUUUUGGUUUUUUUUUUUUUUUUUUUUUGAGACAGUCUUGCUGUAUUGCCCAGGCUGGAGUGUGGUGGCACAAUCACAGCUCAUUGCAUCCUCAAUCACCCAGGCCUAAGCAAUCCUCCCACCUUGUAGCUGGGACUAUAGCUCACAGCACACCUGGCUAAAAUUUUUUUUUU